rnacentral:rRNA from 1 species
AGGACGAACGCUGGCGGCGUGCUUAACACAUGCAAGUCGAACGGUAAGGCCUUUCGGGGUACACGAGUGGCGAACGGGUGAGUAACACGUGGGUGAUCUGCCCUGCACUUUGGGAUAAGCCUGGGAAACUGGGUCUAAUACCGAAUAUGACCAUUGGUUGCAUGACUGGUGGUGGAAAGCUUUUGCGGUGUGGGAUGGGCCCGCGGCCUAUCAGCUUGUUGGUGGGGUUAAGGCCUACCAAGGCGACGACGGGUAGCCGGCCUGAGAGGGUGUCCGGCCACACUGGGACUGAGAUACGGCCCAGACUCCUACGGGAGGCAGCAGUGGGGAAUAUUGCACAAUGGGCGCAAGCCUGAUGCAGCGACGCCGCGUGAGGGACGACGGCCUUCGGGUUGUAAACCUCUUUCAGUAGGGACGAAGCGCAAGUGACGGUACCUACAGAAGAAGGACCGGCCAACUACGUGCCAACAGCCGC